rnacentral:rRNA from 1 species
UACAGAGGGGGCAAGCGUUAUUCGGAAUUAUUGGGCGUAAAGGGCGCGUAGGCGGCUUGGCAAGUGGAUGGUGAAAUCCCUCGGCUUAACCGAGGAACUGCCGUCCAAACUGCUUUGCUUGAGACCGGGAGAGGUGAGUGGAAUUCCCAGUGUAGCGGUGAAAUGCGUAGAUAUCGGGAGGAACACCAGUGGCGAAGGCGACUUCCUGGCCUGUUCUUGACGCUGAGGCGCGAAAGCUAGGGGAGCAAACGGG